rnacentral:rRNA from 1 species
CCUACGGGGGGCUGCAGUGGGGAAUCUUCCGCAAUGGACGAAAGUCUGACGGAGCAACGCCGCGUGAGUGAUGACGGCCUUCGGGUUGUAAAGCUCUGUUAAUCGGGACGAAUGGUUCUUGUGCAAAUAGUGCGAGGAUUUGACGGUACCGGAAUAGAAAGCCACGGCUAACUACGUGCCAGCAGCCGCGGUAAUACGUAGGUGGCAAGCGUUGUCCGGAAUUAUUGGGCGUAAAGCGCGCGCAGGCGGAUUGGUCAGUCUGUCUUAAAAGUUCGGGGCUUAACCCCGUGAUGGGAUGGAAACGGCCAAUCUAGAGUAUCGGAGAGGAAAGUGGAAUUCCUAGUGUAGCGGUGAAAUGCGUAGAUAUUAAGAAGAACACCAGUGGCGAAGGCGACUUUCUGGACGAAAACUGACGCUGAGGCGCGAAAGCCAGGGGAGCGAACGGGAUUAGAUACCCGUGUUAGUC